AAGGCUGUGGGGGCAAAGAUGGGCCAGGGUAGGGUGGGGCAGGAAUCACCUCUAACAAACCCAACUCCCAGGCGUUGAGAACGGACAGGAGCGGCACCGUUACAAACAGUCCAAAAGCCAGAAUGUGUCACAGAGAAGGGAAAAUGACAUAAAUGCGAAAGGGGCGGAGAGAGAUGGAAAGGAAAGAGGAGCCCACGCUGAGGCACCUUCCUUGAUCUAAGGCAGUGGUUCUCAAAGUGGCCCGGACUGGCAGCAUCCGCAUCUGCACCACCUAAGAACUUGUUUAAAAUGCAAAUUACUGGAUUCUACCCCAGAGUUAGGGAGCCAGGAACUCUGAGGAUUGGGUUGACCCAUCUGUUUUAACAAGCCCUCCAGGUAAAUAUGAUACAUGUAAGGCUUCCUGUCUUCUCUGGGGGCUGCACCUGGGCCUGUCGAGAAAGGACGAUUGUGUAAACAGGGUCAAAGAGUGGACCAAACCCCACAUUUACACCUAUAUCUUCUACCUUUCCUCCUGUCUGCUCCCUGCCCCACUCAGGAUGGAAGUUGAGAGAAAGCAGACUAGAAAGACCUAGUGCUUGGACUGCGGACCCAGACUACCUAGAAUUUAAUCUUGCCUCUCCACUUACUAGCUAUAUGACCCAGGGCAGAUUAUUUAACCACAACUUCCCUUUCUAUAAAAUGGGGACAAUAAUUACCUAUUUAAUAGUGCUGCUGUGGAGAUUAAGUUAGUUCCUAUUGGAAAGCAAUGCAGACAAUAUCUGACAGGUAAUAAGCACUAUGUAAGUAUUUGAAAGUAAAUACAUGAGCCUUUUCCUCCCCCUCUACUUUCAUUUACAGUGAAGGCUCUAGACAGUGGUCACUAAUAAGGUUCACCAAUAUCCAGUUGCCUUUUCCUGCUCUUUGAAAUUAGUGUGGCUAUGCAACUAAUGUUGGUCAAUGAAAUAGGAAUGAAGGGAAAGGGUGUUGCUUCCAGGUGAGCAUCUGAGUACUGGGACUUAUUUUCUCAUCCUCCUCUUCCCCUGCCUCAGUGACUAAGGAAUGCCAAGAAGUACAAGGAGAAUACCUGCCCAGAAGUGUUACCUAGACCUGCAGUAGACAUUAUACAAGCAGGAAGUAAACCUUUGUUGUGUUAAGACACUGACAAUCCAGCACUAUGUGUUACUGUGCCAUAACCUAGUCUAUCUAUGCUGGCUGGCACAGGUUAUUAACUUGCUUUGGGAACAGGAGAUUAGAGGAACAAUAGUUCUCCAUCCUGACUGCACAUUACAGUCACCCAGAGACUUUAUAAGAAUCCCAAAGCCACAGCCCAGACCAAGUAAAUCAAAAUUCCAAAGGAUGAGACACAGGCAUUACUAUUUUUUUUAAGUUCCCCAGGUGAUUUCUUUUUUCUUUUUUUCUUUUUUUUUUUUUUUUUUUUUUUUUUGAAAUGGAGUCUUGUUCUCUCACCAGGCUGGAGUGCAGUGGCACAAUCUCGGCUCACUGCAACCUCCACCUCUUGGGUUCAAGCAAUUCUCCUACCUCAGCCUCCUAAGUAGCUGGGACUACAGGCACGCGCCAACACACCCCACUAAUUUUUGUAUUUUUAGUACAAUCAGGGUUUCACCAUGUUGGCCAGGAUGGUCUCCAUUUCUUGACCUCGUGAUCCGCCCGCCUCAGCCUCCCAAAGUGCUGGGAUUACAGGCGUGAGCCACUGCACCCGGCCGUGAUUUCUAUAUGUAUCAAGGUUUAGAACCACUGACCUAGAACAAGGCUGCAUCCUAUGGGAAUCUCUGGGGUUUCAAUACUGUAUCAAAAUCCUCAGCUCCCAAGGAUCAUACCUUGAGUUUCACCUCUCCCACAAAGGCUCUAAUACAUGCAACUGUGAGUUUCUGUGUACUUGUAUCUGCCGAGGAGCCCAGAAGGGAACCACAAAAUCUCCCAGACUAAUGCAUCCUACAUUGAAGGCCUCCUGACUCAACUUGACCUUCUCAGUGCAGCCCAAUCCUUCUGUACAUCCUGAUCAGCUGCGUCUUCCAUUAUCUGUGUAGCUUUCUCAAAGCAUCUUGUCCCUUUUCACACCUCAGUUGUCACUUUUUCACCUCCCAGCCUCAGAAGAUGACUGAUAGAAAACAGGUCAUGCUGUCAAUUCUUAGACUUCCUGCCAUUGCUCUCUCUUCCUUUUCUUCUUUCUUCCAAACAAAUAGAAAGCAAUUUCUCUCACCAUCCCUCCAUCACUGAUCUGGAUCCUAUUCAUUUGGGCCUCUGGAAAGACCUCACUUUACUGACUGUCCCCUCAUUCCUCACUUUGACAAUUAACAUGCUUUAAAAAUGCUUUCUUAACUUGUUAUUUCCCUCAAGCUUUGGCUCUGUCUCUCCCAUCUAUUCACGGUCAAUCUUCUGAGGAGUCUGUGAUAGGUGUCUCCACUUUCUUGCCUCCUGUUCACUCCUUAACCCCAACAAAUUGGCCUCCUUUCAAUUGUCUUCCUGAAAUCGCCUCCCCAAAGGUAAUUUUUAAAUUGCCAAAUCCAGUGAGGCAAUUUCAUUGUUAAUUUACUUUACCCAGCUAUGACAUUUGAACCUGUUACUAAUCCUUUCUUCUUGAAACAUUCUCCUACCUUAGACUGACUGGUUUUGAAUACUGAUGCUAUAAUCUCAGCAUUUUCAUUAACCUAUCUGUGCCUCAGGGGGUUUUUUCUGUAAAAAAAUUAAUAAUGCCUACCUCAUAUAGUUAAUGUAAGAAUUAAAUGAGAUAGUACAGGUGGAGAAUCUUGCAUCCAGCUUUCUGAAAUAGAAAACUCUGACAUCCUACCAGGUUUUUUUUUCACAAUUUUUUUACCAACUCAUUUGCCAGUAAAACCUGACCUGAACUGUUAGGUGGCUAUUUGUACUCUUCUUUAUCCCAUCUGCUGUGGAUAUUGACC
ensembl:lncRNA